rnacentral:rRNA from 1 species
GUUUGAUCAUGGCUCAGAUUGAACGCUGGCGGCAGGCCUAACACAUGCAAGUCGAACGGUAACAGGGAUCAGCUUGCUGAUUCGCUGACGAGUGGCGGACGGGUGAGUAAUGUCUGGGAAACUGCCUGAUGGAGGGGGAUAACUACUGGAAACGGUAGCUAAUACCGCAUAACGUCGCAAGACCAAAGAGGGGGACCUUCGGGCCUCUUG